rnacentral:rRNA from 1 species
GGGUCAGUAGGUUGGUCGUGCCACCGGUACGUACUGGUCUCACUGACUCCUCCUUCCUGAAGAACCGUAAUGCCAUUAAUUUGGUGUUGCGGGGAAACAGGACUGUUACUUUGAAAAAAUUAGAGUGUUUAAAGCAAGCUAACGCUUGAAUACACUAGCAUGGAAUAAUGAAAUAGGACGAUCGAUCCUAUUUUGUUGGUUUCUAGGAUUGACGUA